rnacentral:rRNA from 1 species
ACCUGCAGUUCUCACCUGGUGUCCCACUGAAGCUAAGCCAGGUUGAGCCUGGCCAGUACCUGCAUGGGAGUCCUCCUGUGGAAAAUCUAAGGUUGCUGCGGGAA